GCCGGUGUAGCUGUGUCACGCUAAGAUGGGUCUUAUUCCCUAUGUGGCGGGUGUAGCUGUGUCACGCUAAGAUGGGUCUUAUUCCCUAUGUGGCCGGUGUAGCUGUGUCAUGCUAAGAUGGGUCUUAUUCCCUAUGUGGCCUGUGUAGCUGUGUCAUGCUAAGAUGGGUCUUAUUCCCUAUGUGGCCGGUGUAGCUGUGUCAUGCUAAGAUGGGUCUUAUUCCCUAUGUAGCCGGUGUAGCUGUGUCAUGCUAAGAUGGGUCUUAUUCCCUAUGUGGCCGGUGUAGCUGUGUCAUGCUAAGAUGGGUCUUAUUCCCUAUGUGGCCUGUGUAGCUGUGUCAUGCUAAGAUGGGUCUUAUUCCCUAUGUGGCCGGUGUAGCUGUGUCACGCUAAGAUGGGUCUUAUUCCCUAUGUGGCCGGUGUAGCUGUGUCACGCUAAGAUGGGUCUUAUUCCCUAUGUGGCCGGUGUAGCUGUGUCAUGCUAAGAUGGGUCUUAUUCCCUAUGUGGCCGGUGUAGCUGUGUCAUGCUAAGAUGGGUCUUAUUCCCUAUGUGGCCGGUG